rnacentral:lncRNA from 1 species
GUGACACAAGUGCACCUCAUCAGCAAAACAGCUCUUUCCUGCCUCCCCGGCCAGCCCCACCCUCCGUGAGACACCGUGCCAUGGGCGGCGGCUGGCAGGUGCCAGUCGGGAGAAGGCAUGGCUACUUCCGGAGUCUUAGGACAGGUUCCUUUUGCGGUGGCCCGGCCGUGCCGACCUCAGGCAGGACUGCAUCCCGAGGCCGAGGCAGCCCUACCACGACCAGUCCAUUUCGCGUCUACCCUCAGAGAUUGGGGUAAGACUUCCAGGUGAAGGACGCAUCUGUUCUACUUCCUCAAUCCUCUCCCAGCGCACUCGCGUUCGAGUUUCAUCUCGUUAUGAGCUCAGAGUAAAGGUAAAAAAGGCUUGUUGUUCUGGACUAAGUCGGGGACUGAGGCUCUUGUCACCUCCCGGCCCAAGCAGCUCGUCCUGACGGAGAAAAGCAUGGGCUCUGGAGUCAGACAGCCCAGUUCAGCUUUGGGAAAGUUAUUCUCUGUGCAUUGCUGUCCUCAUCUGUAUAAUGGGUAUGUUAGGUAUACCCCCCCCUCGUUACCGUUGUGGUGAGGAUCUAAUAAGACGAUACGAGUGCUUAGCAUGGUGCCUGGCGCAUAACAGCCACUCAGCAAAUAAUAGCGAUUGACGUAUGAUUAGGUGUCGCUUUCCGUCACCGCGGAGCACCCGAAACCAAAAAACUGUGACCGGGAAGCUGAGCUGUGAUUCCUUUCAAGUCUUUCCCAAUUACACAAACUGAGACAGACGCAUUUAUUUGUUCAACAAUCAGUCAUCGGGAGCCUCCUGGGUGCCAGGCCCCGUGUUUGGCACCUCGGCCUUCUGCAACCAAGAUGCAGAGCCCCCACUCAGGAAGCCCACGGUCCAGUGGGGAAGGUGGUGAGGACAGGGGGAGGGGGCUCAUCUCUGGAGAUUCAGAAGUAGAAGAGGCUCUCAGUGGAGGCAGGGGGCCAGAUGGAUGACCUCAACAGGAGCCUUAGCCGACCGUCCUUCCCCUCCUGCCUACGAAGGGCCAUAGUUGGGGCAUAGUUUGCCAGAACUCUCUAUUUCCCCACUGCCGACCCCUGGCCUAAUGCCAGGGAGUGGGAAAUUCUGCGAAGCCCCUGUGUCAAGCAGGCAACUCCUGGCAGCUCCUGGGUUGUACCAGCCCCUCCUCUUUCCCCCAUACUUUGUCCUGGGAACUUUGUAGUUAUCUUCCUAAAGCACAGGCCCCUCAAGGACAGGGACCAUGUAGGCUUCUCUUGAUUCAGU